AGGCUUUGAUCCUGGCUCAGAUUGAACGCUGGCGGCAUGCUUUACACAUGCAAGUCGAACGGUAACAGGUCUUCGGAUGCUGACGAGUGGCGAACGGGUGAGUAAUGCAUCGGAACGUGCCCAGUCGUGGGGGAUAACGCAGCGAAAGCUGUGCUAAUACCGCAUACGAUCUGCGGAUGAAAGCGGGGGACCUUCGGGCCUCGCGCGAUUGGAGCGGCCGAUGUCAGAUUAGGUAGUUGGUGGGGUAAAGGCUCACCAAGCCAACGAUCUGUAGCUGGUCUGAGAGGACGACCAGCCACACUGGGACUGAGACACGGCCCAGACUCCUACGGGAGGCAGCAGUGGGGAAUUUUGGACAAUGGGCGCAAGCCUGAUCCAGCAAUGCCGCGUGCAGGAAGAAGGCCUUCGGGUUGUAAACUGCUUUUGUACGGAACGAAAAGCUCUGGGUUAAUACCCUGGGGUCAUGACGGUACCGUAAGAAUAAGCACCGGCGUAA
rnacentral:rRNA from 1 species